GCCGCGGUGGUCUAGUGGUUAUGGCGUUCGACUGCUGACCCGAAGGUCACGGGAUCGAAUCCCGGCCGCGGCG